rnacentral:rRNA from 1 species
UACGGGGGGAGCAAGCGUUGUUCGGAUUUACUGGGCGUAAAGGGCGCGAUAGGCGGGCGCAACAAGUCACUUGUGAAAUCUCCGGGCUUAACCCGGAGCGGCCAAGUGAUACUGUCGUGCUAGAGGUGCGGAAGGGGCUACUGGAAUUCUCGGUGUAGCGGUGAAAUGCGUAGAUAUCGAGAGGAACACCAGUGGCGAAGGCGGAGUCUCUGGACGACUCCUGACACUGAGGCACGAAAGCUGGGGAG